UACCUGUGAAGAUGCAGGUUACCCGCGACAGGACGGAAAGACCCCGUGGAGCUUUACUGUAGUCUGAUAUUGAAAUUCGGCACAGCUUGUACAGGAUAGGUAGGAGCCUGAGAUGCGUGAGCGCUAGCUUACGUGGAGGCGUUGGUGGGAUACUACCCUCGCUGUGUUGGAUUUCUAACCCGCACCAUUUAUCAUGGUGGGAGACAGUGUCAGAUGGGCAGUUUGACUGGGGCGGUCGCCUCCUAAAGAGUAACGGAGGCGCUCAAAGGUUUCCUCAGAAUGGUUGGAAAUCAUUCAUAGAGUGUAAAGGCAUAAGGAAGCUUGACUGCGAGACUUACAAGUCGAGCAGGGUCGAAAGACGGACUUAGUGAUCCGGUGGUUCCGCAUGGAAGGGCCAUCGCUCAACGGAUAAAAGCUACCCCGGGGAUAACAGGCUUAUCUCCCCCAAGAGUUCACAUCGACGGGGAGGUUUGGCACCUCGAUGUCGGCUCAUCGCAUCCUGGGGCUGUAGUCGGUCCCAAGGGUUGGGCUGUUCGCCCAUUAAAGCGGUACGCGAGCUGGGUUCAGAACGUCGUGAGACAGUUCGGUCCCUAUCCGUCGUGGGCGUAGGAAAUUUGAGAGGAGCUGUCCUUAGUACGAGAGGACCGGGAUGGACAUACCUCUGGUGUACCAGUUGUCGUGCCAACGGCAUCGCUGGGUAGCUAUGUAUGGACGGGAUAAGUGCUGAAAGCAUCUAAGCAUGAAGCCCCCCUCAAGAUGAGAUUUCCCAACUUCGGUUAUAAGAUCCCUCAAAGAUGAUGAGGUUAAUAGGUUCGAGGUGGAAGCAUAGCGAUAUGUGGAGCUGACGAAUACUAAUCGAUCGAAGACUUAAUCAAAUU
rnacentral:rRNA from 1 species